rnacentral:tRNA from 1 species
GCCCUCGUAGCUCAGUUGGUAGAGCGUGCCCUUGGUAAGGGUAAGGUCUCCGGUUCAAGCCCGGACGAGGGCU